AAGCCCAACCAGGACCAAACUUGCAUGGAUGAUGCAUCUAGAGAUGGACACUACCACACUUGCUUCGGAUGCUGGAUCUGACCUAGAUUUUCCAGAUGAGUGACCAGGUUAAAGUUUUUGGAGCAGGUCCGUUCCCAAGGAAUUAUAAGCCCAACCUGGACCAAACUUGCAUGGAUGAUGCAUCUAGGGAUGGACACUACCACAUUUGCUUCGGAUGCUGGAUCUGACCUAUAUUUUCCAGAUGAGUGACCAGGUUAAAGUUUUUGGAGCAGGCCCAUUCCCAAGGAACUGUAAGCCCUACCUGGACCAAACUUGCAUGGAUGAUGCAUCUAGGGAUGGACACUACCACACUUGCUUCGGAUGCUGGAUCUGACCUAUAUUUUCCAGAUGAGUGACCUGGUUAAAGUUUUUGGAGCAGAUUAAAGUUUUUGGAGCAGGUCCAUUCAAAAGUAACUAUAAGCCCUACCUGGACCAAACUUGCAUGGAUGAUGCAUCUAGGGAUGGACACUAUCAGACUUGCUUCGGAUGCUGGAUCUGACCUACAUUUUCUAGAUGACUGACCAGGGCAAAAUUUUUGGAGCCGAUUAAAGUUUUUGGAGCAGGUCCAUUCCCAAGUAACUACAAGCCCUAUCUGGACCAAACUGGCAUGGAUGAUGCAUCUAGGGAUGGACACUAGCAGACCCGCUUCGGAUGCCGGAUCUGACCUACAUUUUCCAGAUGAGUGACCAGAUUAAAGUUUUUGGUGCAGGUCCAUUCCCAAGUAACUGUAAGUCCUAUCUGGACCAAACUUGCAUGGAUGAUGCAUCUAGCGAUGGACACUACCAGACUUGCUACGGAUGCUGGAUCUGACCUACAUUUUCCAGAUGAGUGACCAGGUUAAAGUUUUUGGAGCAGAUCC